GGAAAAAUCAAACCUUUAUUCCAUUUCUUUUCAGAGUAGAAAGAAUAUCACUUGUGAAAAAGUUGCAAUAGUGGUAAAGAUUGACCACAGUAAAUAGGUAAGUUAAACAACCUUAAUAUAUUUUUUUCCCCAAGUAAUAAUUCAAAAUAGGUCCUGAAUUUCAAGAAAAAUGGUUGUGCAAAGCCACUGGUUAAAUGUAAAGAAUACAGCGGGAACCACAGUAUAGGCACACAUCAGGAGUGUGAUAGUUGUUGUACAUCGCACCAGAAAGAUAUUUCCCACAAUAUUUCCAAUUUUUUGGAUUAAGGGGAGUAGGAGUAUAUAUCCAUUUGUUUCUCAUUUCUGGGCAUUAUCUAGAAUUGGCACAGGAAUUUUCAUAAAUCAAGUGUGGUGUUUAAAUGCAUCAUUGACUGCUGCAAACAACAAUAGUGUUUUCUUCAUCAGCUAAAAAGUGGAUUGACUCCAGAACUGGAUGGCUUCAUUCAACAUUAAAGUCACUUGAGUCAAAGCUUUUAGAAGAAUGAAAAGUGCAACUUGUCAGAAUCAGGGCUGUAGGUUUUUUUUUUUUUGUCAAAGUGUCCAGGUGCAGUCCAUUUAGAAAACCACAACUGCACCACUGACUGACAAAUUCAAAUACAAGUAAUUUCAACAGACUCAAAACACCUCACACGUCAUAGAUGGAAAGCAUACUGUAUGCAAUUUAAAAAAAAAAUCUAUCAAUGAUCAGAAACAAAACACAGCAGGGCUGACUGAUAAAGAUCGUUUUUGGGCCAUGGUGUUACCUUAAAUAAUUUCAAUCUUUUAUUGCUUUAAAUCCAAAUAAAUUAUAGUCAUUUUUGGUGAAGAAAAAUUACAUUUAACAAAAACUAUAAAUACAUUUCUUUCUGACACAUUAUUUUUGUUGUUGGAGCAAUGAAAAGGGCAAGUAUGAAUCUGAACUACUGGUCUGACUGGGCCAGCAGAUAAAAUCCUUUUUGUUGAGCCCUUCAAAGCUGAUUUAGCAGAUAAGAUGCAUUCAUAGUGUUUAGAACAUCUUUAACGUAGGAACAAAAGCUUGCUGCUUCUUUUCUAGUCCACACCUGUAGAAAUAACUUCAUGUCCCAUAAAUGUGUGCAAUCCGCUUCAAGUGGUACAGCAGCGCUCAGAACAAUUCAAAACUCAAUCAUUCCCAAUCUCCCAUAAAACAUCAUUCAAGCAGCCAAUAUAUACUUUAAAAAUAUGCAUAUCUUUUUCUUCUGUACUACCCAUUUCGCCCAGCAAUAAAUUGAGAAAAGG